rnacentral:tRNA from 1 species
CAAAGUGUAGCUUAAUAAAAGCAUCUGGCUUACACCCAGAAGAUUUCAUAACUAAUGACCACUUUGA